GUGCUGGCUUUAGCAGCACACAGACUGAAACUGAAAUAAUGCAAAGAAGGUUAGUGUGGCCCCUGGGCAAGGAUAAUGCACAAAUGUAUGAAGUAUUCCAUAGUUUU
rnacentral:snRNA from 1 species